rnacentral:rRNA from 1 species
CGUGUAGGUGGUCACGCAAGUCAGGUGUGAAAGCCCAGGGCUCAACCCUGGAAGUGCACAUGAUACUACGUGGCUGGAGUACUGAAGAGGAGAGCGGAAUUCCCGGUGUAGAGGUGAAAUUCGUAGAUAUCGGGAGGAACACCAGUGGCGAAGGCGGCUCUCUGGGCAGAUACUGACACUGAGACGCGAAAGCGUGGGUAGCAAACAGGAUUAGAUACCCUGGUAGUCCACGCUGUAAACGAUGAGAACUGGGUGUCGUGGGUAUUGACCCCCGCGGUGCCGAAGCCAACGCGUUAAGUUCUCCGCCUGGGAAGUACGGCCGCAAGGCUAAA